rnacentral:rRNA from 1 species
GAUGAACGCUGGCGGCGUGCUUAAUACAUGCAAGUCGAGCGAACGGACCCGAAGCUUGCUUCUCUGAUGUUAGCCGCGGACGGGUGUGUAACACGUGGAUAACCUACCUAUAAGUCUGGGAUCACUUCGGGAAACCGGCGCUAAUCCCGGAUAAUAUUUUGCACCGUAUGGUUCAAUAGUGAAAGUCGGUCUUGCUGUCACUUCUCGCUGGAUCUGCGCUGCAUUAGCUAGUUGGUACGGUAACGGCGUAUCAAGGCAACGAUGCAUAGCCGACCGGAGGGGGUGAUCGGCCACACUGGAACUGAGACACGGUCCAGACUCCUACGGGAGGCAGCAGUAGGGAAUCUGCCGCAAUGGGCGAAAGCCUGACGGAGCAACGCCGCGUGAGUGAUGAAGGUCUUCGGAGCGUAAAGCUCUGUUAUUGGGUAAGAACAUAUGUGUAAGUAACUGUGCACAUCUUGACGGUAACUAGUCAGAAAGCCACGGCUAACUACGUG